CACAAAUACAGUUUAAUCGCCAUGGAGCCAAAGUCUUUACAGUCAGUUUCAUACGAAUGGGCUCCAUGGGAUUCCUAUCUGGGGUAUAACACAUUCAAACAAAUCUACUGAACCCCAGGCAGAAAAGCACGAAUGAAGCUUUUCUGCAGGCAAAAAAUAAAGUCUUUUAAAAGGGGGCCAUAGUCCAAAGGCAGCAGGCGAGCAACCAGGCUUCUCCAAUGCAAUGUGGCGAGAUUGGUCUUGUCACACAACUUAUGCUGCAAUUCUUUCUGAUGCCCAUGGCGAUGGUAUGCUGACAAAAUGAGCAUCGGGCUCCUUUAGCUCACAUUGUGUGUGUUUUUAUUCACUAUGAAAAGCACCUUUUUUCUUUUUGUUUCAAUAGUUUUCCAGUUAUCCACACAGGGUGCCAAGCUAUCUAGGGACAGUUUGCUCAACUCGGAUUCUUAAUUUUUUGUUUUCUCCUUUCUCAUUUUUAUAUUUUGUUUUUCACCUACUCUUUGGUCACUUUGAUAUAAUCCCAAUUUUUAGUCAUAUCUUUUUACAUUAUUGCCAUUUAUAGGGGUUUAUCUGCUCCAUGGUGAGUUGUAAAGUUGUAAGAAUAAUUUAACCUGUGCAAGAGCUUUUUGGUAAUCUAUUUCCACUAUUUUUGAGGAGGUAUAGAUGGAGUUGCCAAAUGUAUUUCUAUUAUCUGCAUUUCUGUUAUUUUUCAAUACAGAUGCCAUUCUAUUUACUUGGUCCCUGCUCACUAUCUUGUCAUAAUGGUGGCUUAUAGUCUCCCAGGAUCCUCCACUUCCCUUGGAUAUUUAGUGUAUAUAGCUAUUGUUUAAUUGCAAGUCUUGUCCCCCAUUACCCUUCAUUAUUAAUAAAGAUUAUAUUUUUUCAUUUGCUCUUUCCUGUUUCUCCCUUCCUGAUUCUUGGUUUUCCAGGUUCCUUGUUGUCGUUCCUUUUUUUGAGUGAUUAAUUAGGGUUAUCCCCUCCAUUUGGGAGAACAGUUUCAAUGCCGUUGCCCUACUGCCCUGAUUUCUUUUUUGGGCGGUGGGCCAAUGGCCUUAACUUUAUUCUUUCCCUUUGUUGUUAAUAAACCUAAAAUAUAUGUUUUUAUCUAACCUUCUGUAUAUGUAUAUCAGUAAAUAAUUAUGGGACUCCGUUCAAUGACACUGCUAUACUACAUUGUUAUUCACUUCUUGUAAUUUAUAACUCAAUGUAUGAAAAUAUAUCUUUAAUGCCAAAUAAUAUUGAUAUAAAUAUUUUGACAACAUAUUAGUGGCAAUAUGCUGUUUCUCUGUUCUGGCAGUUUACUCUGUUAAGUGUCAAGAGUGCUAGAAUAAACAUUAUAUCUCUCUUUUAUCUGUCAACAGUUUUUGUAUUUUAUCGUUAAAUAUCACCAUUAUAUAAUUUUACAUCUCUGCAGAAAAUGUUGGCCCUAUAUAAAUGCUAUUAAUAAC